CAGGACGAACGCUGGCGGCGUGCCUAAUACAUGCAAGUCGAACGGUCUUUCUAUGGAAGCUUGCUUCCACUGAGAAGAUAGUGGCGAACGGGUGAGUAACACGUGGGUAACCUGCCCAUAAGAGGGGGAUAACAUCCGGAAACGGGUGCUAAUACCGCAUAGUUUCUUGAUCGCAUGAUUGAGAAAGGAAAGACGGCCUUUGUGCUGUCGCUUAUGGAUGGACCCGCGGCGUAUUAGUUAGUUGGUGAGGUAACGGCUCACCAAGACGAUGAUACGUAGCCGACCUGAGAGGUGAUCGGCCACAUUGGGACUGAGACACGGCCCAAACUCCUACGGGAGGCAGCAGUAGGGAAUCUUCCGCAAUGGACGAAAGUCUGACGGAGCAACGCCGCGUGAGUGAAAGAAGGUUUUCGGAUCGUAAAACUCUGUUGUCAGAGAAGAACAAGUUGGAGAGUAACUGCUCCAGCCUUGACGGUAUCUGACCAGAAAGCCACGGCUAACUACGUGCCAGCCGCCGC
rnacentral:rRNA from 1 species